rnacentral:rRNA from 1 species
GAUGAACGCUGGCGGCGUGCCUAAUACAUGCAAGUCGAGCGGAAAGGCCUCUUCGGAGGUACUCGAGCGGCGGACGGCUGAGUAACACGUAGGAACAUACCCUAAAGUGAGGGAUAACUGCUCGAAAGAGUAGCUAAUACCGCAUGUGGUCUUCGGAUUAAAGCUUCGGCGCUUUGGGAAUGGCCUGCGUCUGAUUAGCUAGAUGGUGAGGUAAUGGCUCACCAUGGCGACGAUCAGUAGCUGGUCUGAGAGGAUGAUCAGCCAGACUGGGACUGAGACACGGCCCAGACUCCUACGGGAGGCAGCAGUAGGGAAUUUUCCACAAUGGGCGAAAGCCUGAUGGAGCAACGCCGCGUGCAGGAUGAAUGCCUUCGGGUUGUAAACUGCUUUUAUAUGUGACGAAUAUGACGGUAGCAUAUGAAUAAGGAUCGGCUAACUCCGUGCCAGCCGCCGCCGUAA